rnacentral:lncRNA from 10 species
UUGGAGUCUCAAGAAUUCUAAGUUUCCCAGGCACUUAUUAUUUGCUUUAUCUCUUCUUUUGUCAGAUUUGGUUCCAACUUGUGCCAUCUCUGGCCCCUCUGCUGAAGUUUCCAAUAAUAUGGAAAUGCCUGUUGAGGAAACAGGGAGCAGCACAGGUCUUCUAAAUUCCACCAGUACAUCUGCUUUUGGCUCACUCUCAACCAAGUAACUGAGACUAAAACAAGUUUUAGUUCAAACUUAUCUGUGUCUGUAAGGAGAACUCAAAAUAUUUGGUGAACAGCUCUAAUGACGACCACACCCCUGGGGUACACAAUUCCUGCAGAGAUGACAAGGCAGGAAGAAAGAGCCACACAGGAAAUCGGCAAUACUCCCAGUGUUAUAACUGAGUUGGCAGAUUGGAAAAACAUCACUAGACAGAGUCAUUUGCAUCAGUGAUAUUUUGGAUUUCACAAGUGAGUCAUCUGCAUCCUCCACCCAGUGAGUCAGCCAUGCCCCUGACUAGCACGGAGCAUCUCUAUUUUGGUUAAGUGUGGAGACUGCAUGACACCUGUCCUAGCAGAUUGCAAACUUGCCAUUUAUACCACUUACAGUGACAAUUCACUGAAUUUUCGUGAAUGGAUUAUCAACUAGUUAGGGUUCUUGUAACUGGUCGUGAAAGUCACAGAGAAAUUGAGGGAGAAAUUUACUUUACAGGAAAUGGUUAACUAUCAUGCAGCACUUACUUGCAAUAGCCAGGAUGCUCAUGAAAACAAAGAAAUAUACCUUGAUGGCUUAAUUGCUCAUGGAUGCAAAUUAACUCAAGUGAGAAAGGGCUGGGCACUGGGUUAAUUCUAAGGUGUUUUGCUGUUUCAGGUUUACAUUCCCGUCUCAAACAUAUGCCUUGCAUCUAACAGCUGGGCAUGAGAGUGGAGGUUUGAAGGUUGUGGGGGUGCUGAUGGGAGCAGAACAGGUGAAGUCAUGUGUAGCACAUUAUGAGAUUUUAAUCUUAACUGUG